rnacentral:rRNA from 1 species
GAUGAACGCUGGCGGCGUGCCUAAUACAUGCAAGUCGAGCGAACAGAUAAGGAGCUUGCUCCUUUGACGUUAGCGGCGGACGGGUGAGUAACACGUGGGUAGCCUACCUAUAAGACUGGAAUAACUCCGGGAAACCGGGGCUAAUGCAGGAUAACAUGUUGAACCGCAUGGUUCUACAGUGAAAGGCGGCUUUGCUGUCACUUAUAGAUGGACCCGCGCCGUAUUAGCUAGUUGGUGAGGUAACGGCUCACCAAGGCAACGAUACGUAACCGACCUGAGAGGGUGAUCGGCCACACUGGAACUGAGACACGGUCCAGACUCCUACGGGAGGCAGCAGUAGGGAAUCUUCCGCAAUGGGCGAAAGCCUGACGGAGCAACGCCGCGUGAGUGAUGAAGGUCUUCGGAUCGUAAAACUCUGUUAUUAGGGAAGAACAAAUGCGUAAGUAACUGUGCGCGUCUUGACGGUACCUAAUCAGAAAGCCACGGCUAACUACGUG